rnacentral:lncRNA from 1 species
GGGAAAAAAAAGUGAAAACUUCAAAUUUAAUUUUUUUUCCUUCUUCCUUUACAGGACUCCAGACGCUCCAAUUCAGAUUUGACCCUGGGGCCACCUUGGACAUGGGAAGACACCCAGGAAACCCUCAACCCCCAGCCUGAUGGGAGGGCCCUGACAUCACUCUCUGCUACUGAGAUGCCGUCAGCUGAGGAGGAGGGCAGCCUUUCAAUUGAGGAUGAAGGCUUUGAGCUGUUGAACUCCACCUAUAAUAAAAUCACUGGCCCUGGCAGGCCAGGACUUGGCAGGAGCAGUCCGUGGGUUUCUGGUAGCUCUGGACCCUCCAUCAAAACACACAGGGCAGCCAAGAAGGAGCGUGCCUCCAACCCCCGGGAGGAGAACGUCACCACAGAGAAGCUGACAGGGGAUGUGGGCACCCGGCAGCGGCUCCCUCCUGGCAAACCCAGCAAUGCCAUCACUGACCUGGACGUGCCUGCCACCUUCACCAAGGUCUCCCCAUUGGUGCAUCAGGCAGCUGCCCCCAAAGGAAAUGUGCCCAAAGGUCCCCUGAGGAUGGGGCCAGCGGCAGGCAGCCUGAAGCAUCCUCUGGUAGCAGUCAGCCCUGCUGUCCCAGGGCUCAGGGACGGUGCUGCCCACUCGGGGAACCCCAUCCCACCAGUGACACAUGGGCAGCAGUGUCAUGUGAAGCCAGGACCACCGGGGCUGCCAGGACCACCGGGGCUGCCAGGCUGUCCUGGGAGACGUGGACUGGUGGGACCCAAAGGAGAC